UUUAAAACAAAACAGCUUUUUUUUCUCUUGUCAGGACACAGUCUGAUGGGCAGUUGUGUUGAAUCGCAAAAGAUCAGGACCCUGAAAAUAGGUCCAUUAGGCUUCGUGUUCGGGUCUGUAAAGAUGCAUUGGAGGGUCUAUUUGCUUCCUGCUCAAGCGAGCCACUCAUACCGGGGGAAAUGGAACGAGGUCAGCAGUGCCAACCGGCUACCUGUCGGGAGCGAGUGUUUACCUGCUCGUGCACCCUCACCUGAUUCUUUUCCCCCUCUGCAAGCCAACCAACUGGGUGUCUGGUUCCCAUUUCCAUUGCUCCGCGGGGUGUCAGAGACGCAUUGGCUGCCGAACAUAGAAACGGAUGGACCAGAAAUGCCCAUGUGUCUCCCUGAUCUGUACCGCUCGAGCCUGAGCAGACAACGGUGGUUGCAGUGGGAAACUCUGGUGUGAUUUAUGAGGAGGUCCUCCUUUCCGCUGUUUGAGUUGCCAUUGUGCACGAUAAUGAACAUGAGGCAUCGUCGGUUCAAAAAUGAAGGUCAAUGGGUUGAUGCGUUAAUUCAUUGUUAAAAGCAUUUAGUUUAGUGAAGGAGAAAGCUGUAUUUACUGUUAUUUCUUUCUGACCCUGUUUUGUGCCCUGAUCUGUUGUGAUUCAUGCAUUAGGAUGCUGGAGUUUGAAAAAGAAUAUUCCAUGUAAAAUAGAUUAUUAUUUAACAAAUGGGUUAUGCACUUAAAGGAUAAGUGACUUUGUAAAUUAAUCGGUUUAAUUGUGACUUCUUGUUUAUGCUUCGGGGGCCCAACUCAAUCUGUGAC
ensembl:lncRNA